UACGUAGGGGGCAAGCGUUGUCCGGAAUUAUUGGGCGUAAAGAGCGUGUAGGCGGUCCGGUAAGUCAGCUGUGAAAGUCAAGGGCUCAACCCUUGAAAGCCGGUUGAUACUGUCGGGCUAGAGUCCGGAAGAGGCGAGUGGAAUUCCCGGUGUAGCGGUGAAAUGCGCAGAUAUCAGGAGGAACACCGAUGGCGAAGGCAGAUCUCUGGGCCGUAACUGACGCUGAGGAGCGAAAGCGUGGGGAGCGAACAGG
rnacentral:rRNA from 1 species